GUUGUACUUCCUCCGUUCAACAAGAUGUCUCAACGUUGACUAAAUUUGAAUGCAUUUAUACAUUAAAUCAUUUUAGAUACAUCCAAAUUUUGAUAAAUUUGAGACUUUUUUGUUCGACGGAGAAAGUACUUG
rfam:Brachypodium distachyon strain Bd21 chromosome 5, whole genome shotgun sequence.